UGCCCCGAAGUUCGGGAUAACCCGGGGAAACCCGAGCUAAUACCGGAUACCUUCCUUUGGUCGCAUGGCUAUUGGAAGAAAGAUUUAUCGCUUCGGGAGGGGCUCGCGGCCUAUCAGCUAGUUGGUGAGGUAACGGCUCACCAAGGCAUCGACGGGUAGCUGGUCUGAGAGGACGAUCAGCCACACUGGGACUGAGACACGGCCCAGACUCCUACGGGAGGCAGCAGUGGGGAAUCUUGCGCAAUGGGCGAAAGCCUGACGCAGCAACGCCGCGUGCGAGAGGAAGGCCUUAGGGUUGUAAAUCGCUUUCGGCAGGGACGAAAUUGACGGUACCUGCAGAAGAAGCCCCGGCCAACUACGUGCCAGCAGCCGCGGUAACACGUAGGGGGCGAGCGUUGUCCGGAUUUAUUGGGCGUAAAGAGCUCGUAGGCGGCUCAGUAAGUCUGCUGUUAAAGCUCCAGGCUCAACCUGGAGAGGCCAGUGGAUACUGCUGUGGCUAGAGUCCGGUAGGGGAGCGUGGAAUUCCCAGUGUAGCGGUGGAAUGCGCA
rnacentral:rRNA from 1 species